GAUGAACGCUGGCGGCGUGCCUAAUACAUGCAAGUCGAGCGAACAGAUAAGGCUCUUUCUCCUUUGCCGUUAGCGGCGGACGGGUGAUUAACACGUGGGUAACCUACCUUUUAGACUGGCAUAACUUCGGGAAACCUGAUCUCAUACCGGUUAUUAUUUCGAACCGCAUGGUUCUUUAGUGUUAGCUGGUUUUGCUAUCACUUAUAGAUUUUCCCGCGCCGUAUUAGCUAGUUGGUAAGGUAAAGGCUUACCAAGGCUACUAUACGUAUCGGACCUGAGAGGGUGAUCAGCAAAACGGGAACUGAGAAACGGUCCAGAAGCCGACGGGAGGAAGCAGUAGGGAAUAUUGGGCAAGGGGCGAAAGCCUGAAGGAGCAAAGCCGCGGGAGUGAAGAAGGUCUUCGGAUCGUAAAGCACUGUAAUUAGGGAAGAAGAAAAGUGAAAGAAAAUGUGAACGUAUUGACGGUACCUAAAGAAAAAGCAACGGCUAACUACGUG
rnacentral:rRNA from 1 species